rnacentral:rRNA from 1 species
CCCUUAGAUGCUCUGGGCCGCACGCGCGCUACACUGAUGCAUUCAACGAGUUUCUUCCUGGUCCGAGAGGAAUGGGUAACCUUUUGAAAGUGCAUCGUGAUAGGGAUAGACUAUUGCAAUUAUUGGUCUUCAACGAGGAAUUCCUAGUAGACGUAGUUCAUCAGACUGCAUCGAUUACGUCCCUGCCCUUUGUACACACCGCCCGUCGCUCCUACCGAUUGAAUGCUCAGGUGAGCCAUUCGGACUUUCAUCAUGCUGGUUUCCAGUUUUGAUGAAGGGAAGUCUUGCGAACCUUAUCAUUUAGAGGAAGGAGAAGUCGUAACA